rnacentral:rRNA from 1 species
GUCGAGCGGUAACAGGUGUAGCAAUACAUGCUGACGAGCGGCGAACGGGUGAGUAAUGCUUCGGAAUCUGCCCAAUGGUGGGGAAUAACCAGCCGAAAGGUUGGCUAAUACCGCAUGAGCCCUACGGGGGAAAGCAGGGGAUCGUAAGACCUUGCGCCGAUGGAUGAGCCGAAGUCGGAUUAGCUAGUUGGUAGGGUAACGGCCUACCAAGGCGACGAUCCGUAGCUGGUCUGAGAGGACGACCAGCCACACUGGGACUGAGACACGGCCCAGACUCCUACGGGAGGCAGCAGUGGGGAAUAUUGGACAAUGGGGGCAACCCUGAUCCAGCGACGCCGCGUGUGUGAAGAAGGCCUGCGGGUUGUAAAGCACUUUUAGUGGGGAUGAAAAGCUCAGGGUUAACACCUCUGGGUCUUGACCUAACCCACAGAAAAAGCACCGGCUAACUCUGUGCCAGCAGCCGCGGUAAUACAGAGGGUGCAAGCGUUAAUCGGAAUUACUGGGCGUAAAGCGUGCGUAGACGGUUAGAUAAGUCGGGUGUGAAAGCCCCGGGCUCAACCUGGGAAUUGCAUUCGAGACUGUUUAGCUAGGGUGCGGAAGAGGGAAGCGGAAUUUCCGGUGUAGCGGUGAAAUGCGUAGAUAUCGGA